GUCUCUUUUAAAGACUCAUGAGUAAACACACAGACACAGUAGCAAGUAUAAAGUACCAGAGUGAAAAAAACAUAAAGAACGUGUUUUAAAGAAGACUCGGAACUUAAGCAAGUUUUAGAAGAGAAAAGAUGUGAUGUAUAACUUAGGAAAGAGUAGACGAAACAUGCUUAGAGUUCAAAUAGAGGUCCAGUAAGGCAAACAAGGAUUAAAAUCUUAGUAAAAAUACCAUAAAGGAACAUACGAGAUAGAUAUGUAAAAGCAUGCUUAUAGAAACUAGUAAGAGGAAGAACAGAGCACAAAAUAGAAUUACAUUCAUAACACAACAAACAUAAGAACACAAGAGAAAAACUCAUUAAAACAUGGCAUAGAUAGAUCAUACAAAGAAAAGCGGAGGAAGAGACAGAAGUCGCUUUGAGACUUUUCCAGAAAACCCUAAAUCGAAAACAAACUAAUUUCGAAAUAAAAAUUGGGUGAAAAUUUUAAAAGAUUGAAGAUAGAACAAAUUCACCACAGAUCUUGGCAAAUAAAAGAAGAAGGAACCUCGAAAAGCUUUAGGGUUUCUCUGAAACCCUAGAAAUGAGAAGGCUUAGAAGAAAGUCUGGUCUCGAGUCGGAGAUGGCCAUAGCUAGGCUCCUAAAGCUCGAAUACACCGAAGCAAAACCGUAGAGGCCAUAGAACCACGGAUCAGUAGAGGAUCUAAACGAACGCCAUCGAGGUCAUACCUUGAAAUCUCGAACACCCAUGGUUUAGGAGUGAAGGAAGGUAAGUACAGGCCGUCUAUGGCCUGGAAGCCAUGGAUUCUAGUGAGAUUAUGGUCGGAGAAGGGUGAGAAGGGCGAGAGUUUUGAGACCCUUCAAGAGAGUUUGAGAGAAAGAGAGGUUUCAGAGGCGGC
rnacentral:lncRNA from 1 species